rnacentral:misc_RNA from 1 species
UUUCCGUAGGUGAACCUGCGGAAGGAUCAUUACCAUGUAAUUCAGUCCCCUUGGCUGUGUUAUAUAUAUACCCACUCUGUGCACCUUCUCCUGUUGCUUCCGCUGGGUGUGUAAUUCGCCCGGCGGAAGGGUAAAAAUAACCUCUGAGUAUUGAUGAAAUCUCUGUCUGAACCGAAUAGAAAGAAAAAUGUUAAAACUUUCAGCAACGGAUCUCUUGGUUCUC